UGGGGAAUAUUGGACAAUGGGCGAAAGCCUGAUCCAGCCAUGCCGCGUGUGUGAAGAAGGUCUUCGGAUUGUAAAGCCCUUUAAGUGGGGAGGAAGGGCAGUAAGCGAAUACCUUCCUGUUUUGACGUUACCGACAGAAUAAGCACCGGCUAACUCUGUGCCAGCACCCGCGGUAAUACAGAGGGUGCAAGCGUUAAUCGGAAUUACUGGGCGUAAAGCGCGCGUAGGUGGUUCGUUAAGUUGAAUGUGAAAGCCCCGGGCUCAACCUGGGAACUGCAUCCAAAACUGGCGAGCUAGAGUAGGGCAGAGGGUGGUGGAAUUUCCUGUGUAGCGGUGAAAUGCGUAGAUAUAGGAAGGAACACCAGUGGCGAAGGCGACCACCUGGGCUCAUACUGACACUGAGGUGCGAAAGCGUGGGGAGCAAACAGG
rnacentral:rRNA from 1 species